GUGAAUCAUCAAAUUUUUGAACGCAAAUUGCACUCUUUUCGGAGAGUAUGACUGUUUGUGGGUCAGAAUCUAAAAAUUCGACAACGCAGCUGUCUCGCGGUGGAGUUCGUGGGAAAUUGGGUUAUAUUAAAUCCUUUUGGUUCUUAAGCGGCUUAAAAUUUUAUUUUUGGUUUAAUGUACGUUUCUAAGAUAUAUUUU
rnacentral:misc_RNA from 1 species